GAAAGCUUGUCUGUUCACAGUUGCGCCUUACUCUGGUUUUUCUACCCAGCAGGUGUCCAACACACUUGACUGAAGGAAUGCAGAAGAAAACAGACACUUGGGGCAGAAACCUGAACCUGAACCUGUCACCUGGUACCUUCAAAAAGCAGCAUUUGCAAAACUGGAUGUUCUGCCUUUGUAAUUCUCAGCUUUUACCCAAAUACUUCAGAAAAUGAACAAAUCCCAGAAG
rnacentral:lncRNA from 1 species